CAGAUAAAAAGGCUUGAGUGUUCAAAGGAAAAGGAAAUGGAAUCUAGGUACAUAUGGAAACAUGGGCCUCCAGAUACCUUUUGUGCGUGUGGUAGAGGAGGCACUGAGGGAGGAAGCUAAAGAGAAGCGGCGAGGGACUUCGGCCUCCUUAGGCGUCGGCUCUGGAGCAAAAAGCAGAACUCAGCUGUAAGGCCGGGUGUUGUUUUUGUCACUAGCAACACAAAGAAUCAACUUUAUUCAUUCCCCCGCAGUUUUAUUUAACGAAACACUCCGGCGGCUAAAGACUUGACUCGGGAACUGACAAAUGUGUGAUGGAUGAAGCAGGGAGAAGGAAUG